rnacentral:rRNA from 1 species
GAUGAACGCUAGCGGCAGGCUUAACACAUGCAAGUCGAGGGGUAUAGUUCUUCGGAACUAGAGACCGGCGCACGGGUGCGUAACGCAUAUGCAAUCUACCUUUUGCAGAGGGAUAGCCCAGAGAAAUUUGGAUUAAUACCUCAUGGUAUGUGAGAAUGGCAUCAUUUUCACAUUAAAGUCACAACGGCAAAAGAUGAGCAUGCGUCCCAUUAGCUUGUUGGUAAGGUAACGGCUUACUAAGGCAACGAUGGGUAGGGGUCCUGAGAGGGAGAUCCCCCACACUGGUACUGAGACACGGACCAGACUCCUACGGGAGGCAGCAGUGAGGAAUAUUGGACAAUGGGCGCAAGCCUGAUCCAGCCAUGCCGCGUGCAGGAUGACGGUCCUAUGGAUUGUAAACUGCUUUUGUACAGGAAGAAACACUGGUUCGUGAACCAGCUUGACGGUACUGUAAGAAUAAGGAUCGGCUAACUCCGUGCCAGCAGCCGCUGUAAGAC